rnacentral:rRNA from 1 species
CGCAGCCUGAUGGAGCACACCGCGUGAGUGAAGAAGGGUUUCGGCUCGUAAAGCUCUGUUGUUGAAGAAGAACGUGCAUGAGAGUAACUGUUCAUGCAGUGACGGUAUUCAACCAGAAAGUCACGGCUAACUACGUGCCAGCAGCCGCGGUAAUACGUAGGUGGCAAGCGUUAUCCGGAUUUAUUGGGCGUAAAGAGAGUGCAGGCGGUUUCUUAAGUCUGAUGUGAAAGCCUUCGGCUCAACCGAAGAAGUGCAUCGGAAACUGGGAGACUUGAGUACAGAAGAGGGCAGUGGAACUCCAUGUGUAGCGGUGGAAUGCGUAGAUAUAUGGAAGAACACCAGUGGCGAAGGCGGCUGCCUGGUCUGUAACUGACGCUGAGACUCGAAAGCAUGGGUAGCGAACAGGAUUAGAUACC